UACAGAGGGGGCAAGCGUUGUUCGGAAUUACUGGGCGUAAAGGGCGCGUAGGCGGCCUGUUAAGUCGAACGUGAAAUCCCCGGGCUCAACCCGGGAACUGCGUCCGAUACUGGCAGGCUUGAAUUCGGGAGAGGGAUGUGGAAUUCCAGGUGUAGCGGUGAAAUGCGUAGAUAUCUGGAGGAACACCGGUGGCGAAGGCGGCUCGCUGGACCGGAACUGACGCUGAGGCGCGAAAGCGUGGGGAGCAAACAGG
rnacentral:rRNA from 1 species